UGGAAGACUUGUCCUUGAAUAGACC
rnacentral:piRNA from 1 species